UGCAGAACCUGACCUAUGGCCUCCUCCUAAAGCAGGGAGGUACUGCAGCAUCCCCCUUCUGUAGUGGUAGAUGCUGGCCUGAGCUCCCCUUGCCCAUGCAGUAGAGAGGGAUGCUGGCAGGGAGGAGGAAUGGGAGGCACAGGCGUGCUGCAGCUGCAGAGGGUGAUGCUUACAGCCAGGGUGCUGCAUGGUGCCCAGGAGUGAGGGCAGGCUCAUUCUCUUCUGCCUGUCCCCGCUGCAGACUGGCUGCCACCUGGGGAUAAUCCCCCAUGGCUGGAUCUGGGCAGGAUUUGGAGUAUUCACCAAACCAUGCUGUGUCGAGUCUCCAAAAACUACUUGGCAAGACUUUUCAGGGGUAAAGGAAGUUUUCUCUGUGGAAGUGAAGUUCCGUCAACAAUCAGAAGAGCCUAUGGAUAGGAAAUAUUACCUUUACAUUCAACCAGACUGCCUCAGUUGUCUUGAGUUGACUACAGAUUUCAGUAUGUUCAAAGCAUAGCAUUUUUACCUCUGUUAUAAAUUA